rnacentral:lncRNA from 1 species
CUUCUUGGCAAUUCACAUUACAAAAAGUGUCUUACUUAAUAGACUGGAAGACAUUAGAUUCAGAAAUGACAGAUUCACUGUCAGCUGUGUUCUCACUAAGUCUCCCUGAAGUUAAUGUCUAUCAGAGCAUAGUGACCUUACAAAAUAAACUACUUCUAUUUUUUUCCUAGGUUGAAAGCCUUGAUGCCUUUGUCUCUUUUCUUCCCUCCCCACCUGUGUAAAGCUUUGCAGGUUAUUCCACUCAGCAAAUUUACUCCUUAAACUCAGGUAGGAAGAUUUUGUGUUCUGGGUAUUAAUGAUUGUUGAACCAAUAACCAUUAAGCUGGAGCUUAUUGUUAUAAAGUCUAAUGGGCCUUUUAAUUAUUUCAUUAUAUGCCGUGUCCCAAGCUGUUAGUGGACCAUGCAACAGAACCUUCCACUCCCUUUCUGGUAAGUAGUCAGUGCCACACCAUGUGCCACUAUGAUUAGUGACUCUUACUGUUAGAAACAGAAUGAAGUACUGUUCUCCUCCGUGUGAACACCAAAACCUUUUCUUAACUGUUUUCUUUUUUGACUAUGCUAUUUUUCAGGCCACAGAUAAAGGAAAUGCUCACAUCUUGGUGUCAACCACUCUGAAUGUGAGGGGCCUUGGUAGGCGUAUUGAAGACGUCACUUAAAAGAGUGAUGGAGCCUAUGUGAGCUGCUCUGCAGAACUGGAGAGCAGAUGCAGCCUCAGUCUCGACAGAGCUCCUUUCCCAGCAUCACAGCCAGCAUUGCAUGGUCUGACAAGCAUCAACUGGCAGAGAGGAAUGUGCUGCACACCUGGAAGACUCAGCAGUGGCAGCAGGACCAAUGCCACCUUUCUAGUGAUCUCUGCAGAUCUCCCCUCUUCUCCCCUAAAACCAUGCAAGAGAAGCACAGGGAAGUGAGACACACAUACAGACCACCACCCCACCCCCCCCAUAGUACUUUCAUGGUCCCCAUUGCUACGGCUGACUAAACAAGUUCACUGAGGUACUCACAAUCACAGCUGCUUUUAUUUCACCCUUGGUCUGAGCAGUUGAGACAUGUGCAAACAUGUACUAAAUUAGUCUGUAAGAAGCUAAAGCUCCCUUAUUUAGCUGGUGUAGAGCAGGUGAUAACUGGCUUGCACAAGGAUACGUUCUCAGAGGUACAUUUCUUCUCAGUAGCUGAUUGCUAACUGGACAGUAUCAGGAGUUUACACAUCUAAGACAAUCACUAGAUUCGGCUCACAAGGAAGGUAAGCACAGAUUGACCAGAAUAUGUGGUUCUGGAGGGGCAUGUGGGCUUUAUUUGAAUCCAUUUCACUUGAUGUAAUGAUGCUUCUAACAAGUAUCCUGGGGGGCUGCUAUUCCCCAUGAUCCAUGAAUCUGGUAUGACUGAGGGUUACAAGUUACUAUGUGGGUCUAAUACUGCAGGAGGUCAAACCUACUGAGUAGCUUGAUAAUCAGUCUAAGGGCCAUCCUGGCAGGUCCCAGGAGAGGUUUAAGAACACAAAAGAGCUGAAUUUCCAGGUCCUGUCUCCUCUGAAAAUGCCAGAGACUGAGCUGGAAAUGGUGCCUGAACUCUGCCCAGACUGAGAUGGUUUGGAUGCACGUGGGAUCCAAAGUUCAGACCAAAUUGCCAAGAAUCCUGGUGACAAUUAAUUGAAGGACUCUGGCAGUUUCAUAAUACUAUACACUACCACACUAUCUAUUUACUGUGGAAAUGAUUGUCUUUGCAUGAUUUUUUCCUGUCCUACACACUAAAAUUAUCCCUGUUUAAUAGCUGGAGAGGAAGCAGUACUACAGCAAUAUGAAAUGAUUUGCCCUAAGACCAUGCCGUGUUUCUUUUGUGGACAUAAGAAUAUGAAUUCUUAUUUCUUGGCUCUCAAAUUAGUUCUAGUCCCCACUCUUAUUCUCACACCUUAAUCAAGUGAUGAUUUUUCUAUGUUUUUACAGAUUCUUCUCCUGACACAGCAUUGAAUGGGUGCAAGCAUUUAAGUAGCUUGCUAAUCUUUGGGUUUGAGACACCAGUGGAAUGUAUUUGAAAUAAAAGCCAAAGUAAUUAUCUGAAAACCA